GAAGAAAAAUCGGACACAAAGACGGUCCUCUGAGAGCAGAAGGGCGCCAUUUUUGCCGACCAAGAUGGAAUGAUUUUCUUGUUGUUCUCGCAAAUCAUAACUGUGGUGAAUGCAUAGCUUGACAUCUGAGUCGAGUUGCCAUGAAUAUGUAUAUGAUAUCGGGUUAUUUGAACCCGAGGCAGGUAAGAUGAAGGGCAUUUGAAGGCCAAGCUCCUAAUUGAAAACUCAUUUAAAGUCGUGCAUUCAAAAGACCCUAUUCUAAAUAGUGUUAUAAAAAGCUCGCUGUAGCAGCUGUCACUCAAGGCUUGUGUCUAAUGUAUGCAUGAUUUCUGUAACGCUGUAUUUGAUUUUUCUUAUCUUUUUAAUGUCUUACUUGUUAGUUUUAGUUAUAUACUCUA